UUUUACCUAUUUAUUAUUUUAUAUUCUAUAUUCAGUUUCUUUAAGACUUCAAUUACUUGAUUUUUUACAUGUUUGGUUGCUAUAUGACUAGCUAUCAUUGUAUCAUAAUCAGAACCCCUUUCCAAUAAUUUAAACUUUAAUUGUUCGUCACUCAAGUUUGGUUCUCGUAUUUUUUCAAAAUGAUAUCGUGACAAUUUUGCCACAAUGAGCACUCGCUUCGGUACAAAGUUCGAUUCAUUUCGGAGGAAUAACCUAAGAUUAUUGGAAGCAUUGUACUUAUGCGAUUGUAAAAAUUAAAUGACAACUGUAUACAUUUGUCAUAGCAGUGUAACAAAUGUAUUUAAACAACC
rnacentral:misc_RNA from 1 species